rnacentral:lncRNA from 1 species
GAAAUAUUUGCAAACCAUAAAUCUGAUAAGCUAGACAAACAACGAAACAAUAAGUCAAGCUCUGAUUUUCAGCGUUUGCCAGUUUCCACGGUGUGGAUACUCUCAUCACGGUUGAAUUCAAACUAUCAACAUGAACAUGGAUUUGGCAAGAGGUACCAACAGGAUACCAGUAUCUACAGGUCUCAUGAAGGAGGAAGCAUUUGAAUUUGGCUUGUAAAACAUGGGGAACUUUGUAUAGACAGAAAUGGAGAGAGAGGACGUUCCUGGCAAAAGACACACUUAAAUAAAGGCAAAAUAGGGAAACCGUUUUGACAUAGCGAGGCAUCAAAGGGCCUACAGAAGAC